rnacentral:ribozyme from 1 species
CGCCUCUUUGGUCGCCGCGGGAGUGACGCACGUUUGUUUGGGAAAUCACGAGGCCGACGUGCCGAGCGAGGCGUUGGCGGAGCGGAUUCGCGAGACUUC